UACAGAGGCCUCAAGCGUUGUUCGGAUUCAUUGGGCGUAAAGGGUGCGUAGGUGGCUUGGUAAGUUGAAGGUGAAAUCUCGGGGCUUAACUCCGAAACUGCCUUCAAUACUGCCGGGCUUGAGGACUGUAGAGGAGAAUGGAAUUCACGGUGUAGCAGUGAAAUGCGUAGAUAUCGUGAGGAAGACCAGUGGCGAAGGCGAUUCUCUGGGCAGUUCCUGACACUGAGGCACGAAGGCUAGGGGAGCAAACGGG
rnacentral:rRNA from 1 species